UACGGAGGGUGCGAGCGUUAAUCGGAAUUACUGGGCGUAAAGGGUGCGUAGGUGGUUGUAUAAGUUAUCUGUGAAAUCCCUGGGCUUAACCUGGGCAGGUCAGAUAAGACUGUAUGACUCGAGUAUGGGAGAGGGUAGUGGAAUUUCCGGUGUAGCGGUGAAAUGCGUAGAGAUCGGAAGGAACACCAGUGGCGAAGGCGGCUACCUGGCCUAAUACUGACACUGAGGCACGAAAGCGUGGGGAGCAAACAGG
rnacentral:rRNA from 1 species